GACAAUAUUUUUGUUUACAUUGUUUAUUCUAACCCAUGAGUAGACAAUGGGUGGACCGCGGUCCGGAUCGGGACCCAGAUGAAGUUCUGUGUGGAACCAGACCGUUUAUAUUUUACUCUGCGCAGCUUUCCACGUACUUACGUGCCACAUGGUUGAGGACCUUCCCCGGAGCUUUGACAGGGUCGCAGGGGCUGGAGCCUAUCACAGCCGUCAUCGGGUGAGAGGCAGGUUACACCCUGGAAAGGUCAAGGAUUAGGACCACUCCCUUUUUUUCUCAGUGAUUCUGAAAGCUGUCAAAAAUGCCAAGAAAUGUCAGAAUUGUAAGAUUAGUGUCAGAAUUCUGACGUUUUGUUUUCAGAAUUGUGAAAAGAAAAUAAGUUUUUUUCUUCAGCCCUAACCGUCUUCAAUGGUACUAGGUACAUUCUCAAAUGCUUUUUUUUCCCUCAGGACAUUUGAGGCCACCAAACUGAUAAACUCCUAAUCAGAGAAUGGGCUGCAGUUUUUGGUAAUUUUAUCCAGCUCUGUCCUGGGACGUAGACUUGAGUAAAUUAAUGCAUAAAGUCUGUUUUUUGUUCAAACUCUGCUUACUGCAUCUCUGUUGUUUUUCAUGCAAGUUGUGUAUUGGCUGGCACACAAGUAGGUAGGUCAAUCACCAAAAGCAGCUACCUUAAAAAAAAAAGAAAGCUACAAAGUUUUGCUGG